rnacentral:lncRNA from 1 species
AAUGGUGAAAGACUGAAUGCUUUACCAUUAAAAUCAAGAAAAAUGCAAGGAUAUCUACUCUCACCACUUUUAUUUAAAAUCGUGCAAAAAAAUCCUAUCCAGUGCAAUAAUGCAAGAACAAAAAAAAUAAAAGUUGUAUAGAUUGCAAAGAAAGAAAUGAAACUGUCCCUAUUCACAGAUAACAUGAUUUUCUAUGUAAAAAUCCAAAGGAAUCUAUGAAAAACUGGUAAAUAAGUUGAGUAAUGCUACAGGAUUCAACAUCAACACACAAAAAACAAUCAUAUUUCUAUAUAUUCACAAGGUAGGACUGGAAACAGAAACUUGAGGAACAGCUCUAUUAACAAUAGCUAAUAGCUCAGAAAAAGACAUGUUUAGGUAUAAAUCUAAACGAAAUGUGUCCAAGAUCUGUGUGAUGAAACCACAGAUAUGUACAUGGAAGAAAUCAAAGAAGACUUAAAUAAGUGGAGGGACACCCUGUGUUCAUGGAUGGGAAGACUCAACAUAGUAAAAAUGUCAAUUCUCCCCAAAUUGAUCUAUAAAUUUGAUGCAAUUCUCAUAAAAAUUCCAGAAAGGGUUUUAAAUAGACAUUUACAAGCUGACUAAAAUUUGUAUGAAAAAGCAAAGGAACUAGGGUAGUUAAAACAAUUCUGAAAAAGAAGAAAAUGGGAGGACUCACUAACUGAUUUUAAGACUCACUAUCAGGCAACAGUAAUCAAUCAUGUUGAUUGAUUGGCAAGUAUUGGCAAAGGGAUAGGCCCAUGAAUCAAUGAAUAUAACAGAAAAGCACAUUUUAUCUGAUAUAAGUAUAGUCACCUCUGCUCUCUUUUGGUUAUUAAUUGCAUAGAAUAUCUUUUUCCAUCCCUUUACUUUCAGCCUUUGUGUAUUUGUAAGGCUAAAGUAGGUCUCUGGUAAGGCAGCAUAUAGUUGAGUUAAAAAAAUACAUCCAGCCACUCUAUGUCUUUACUGAAAAAUUUAAUCCUUUACAUUAAAAGUAAUUCUUGAUAGGUAAAGAUUUGCUACUGCCAUUUUGUUGUUGUUGUUUUUAUUUCUGGUUUUGUAGAUCCUUCUUUCUCUCUUGUUUAUCUUUGUGUUUUGUUUUAUUUUUUAUUGCUAAGUUUUGAUUCCCUUCCCUUUAUCAUAUCUAUAUCUGUUACAGUUUCUUGCUUUGUGGUUACCAUGAAACAUCUUAUAGUUACAAUAGACUAUUUUUUCUUGGUAAUAACUUACCUUCAGUUGCAUACAAAACUCUAGACUAUUACCCCCUAACUUAUAUUUUAGAUGUGCAAUUUAUAUCUUUUUGUAAUAUAUAUAUUUUUAACAACUUAUAUCAAUCACUAUUAUUUACCAUUUUGACUUUUAGCCUUUAUACUAGAGAUAUACAUGUUUUAGGGGGGUGGAGCCAAGAUGGCUGAAUAGGAACAGCUCCAGUCUACAGCUCCCAGCAUGAGUGAUGCAGAAGACGGGUGAUUUCUGCAUCUCCAACUGAGGUACCAGGUUCAUCUCACUGGGGACUGACAGACAGUGGGUGCAGGACAGUGGGUGCCGUGCACCAAAUGUGAGCAGAAGCAGGAUGAGGCAUCGCCUCACCCAGGAAGCUCAAGGGGUCAGGGAAUUCCCUUUCCAAAGAAAGGGGUGAC